rnacentral:rRNA from 1 species
CAGUCGCCGCGGUAAUACGAAGGGGGCUAGCGUUGCUCGGAAUGACUGGGCGUAAAGGGCGCGUAGGCGGUUUUGACAGUCAGAUGUGAAAUUCCUGGGCUUAACCUGGGGGCUGCAUUUGAGACGUCAAGACUAGAGUGUGAGAGAGGGUUGUGGAAUUCCCAGUGUAGAGGUGAAAUUCGUAGAUAUUGGGAAGAACACCGGUGGCGAAGGCGGCAACCUGGCUCAUUACUGACGCUGAGGCGCGAAAGCGUGGGGAGCAAACAGGAUUAGAUACCCCCGUAGUCCCUGUCUCUUAUAC